rnacentral:rRNA from 1 species
UACGUAGGGCGCGAGCGUUUGAUCCGGAUUAUUGGGCGUAAAGAGCUCGUAGGCGGCUUGUCGCGUCGACUGUGAAAUCCCGCGGCUCAACUGCGGGUCUGCAGUCGAUACGGGCAGGCUAGAGUUCGGUAGGGGAGACUGGAAUUCCUGGUGUAGCGGUGAAAUGUGCAGAUAUCAGGAGGAACACCGGUGGCGAAGGCGGGUCUCUGGGCCGUAACUGACGCUGAGGAGCGAAAGCGUGGGGAGCGAACAGG